rnacentral:rRNA from 1 species
GAUGAACGCUGGCGGCGUGCUUAACACAUGCAAGUCGAACGGGAUCCCAGGAGCUUGCUCCUGGGUGAGAGUGGCGAACGGGUGAGUAAUGCGUGACCGACCUGCCCCAUACACCGGAAUAGCUCCUGGAAACGGGUGGUAAUGCCGGAUGCUCCAGUUGGAUGCAUGUCCUUCUGGGAAAGAUUCUAUCGGUAUGGGAUGGGGUCGCGUCCUAUCAGCUUGAUGGCGGGGUAACGGCCCACCAUGGCUUCGACGGGUAGCCGGCCUGAGAGGGCGACCGGCCACAUUGGGACUGAGAUACGGCCCAGACUCCUGCGGGAGGCAGCAGUGGGGAAUAUUGCACAAUGGGCGCAAGCCUGAUGCAGCGACGCCGCGUGCGGGAUGACGGCCUUCGGGUUGUAAACCGCUUUUGACUGGGAGCAAGCCCUUCGGG